AACGAACGCUGGCGGCAGGCUUCAUACAUGCAAGUCGAACGAUUAAAGCUCCUUCGGGAGUGUAUAAAGUGGCGAACGGGUGAGUAACAGGUGGGUAAUCUGCCUUUCGGUGGGGGACAACGGUUGGAAACGACCGCUAAUACCGCAUUCGAUUGCUCUGUCAUAAGACUAGGCAAGGAAAGACGCGUUUGCGUCGCCGAAAGAUGAGCCCGCCCCCCAUUAGCUUGUUGGUGUGAUAACAGCGCACCAAGGCUUCGAUGGGUAGCCGAGCUGAGAGGUUGAUCGGCCACACUGGAACUGAGACACGGUCCAGACACCUACGGGUGGCAGCAGUAGGGAAUAUUGCGCAAUGGGCGAAAGCCUGACGCAGCCAUGCCGCGUGGAUGAUGAAGGCCUUCGGGUCGUAAAGUCCUUUUCUGAGGGAAGAACAAGCGAGGUAGGAAAUGAUCUCGCCCUGACGGUACCUCAGGAAUAAGCAACGGCAAACUCCGUGCCAGCCGCCGCCGUAACAC
rnacentral:rRNA from 1 species